CUUGAACGCUGGCGGCAGGCCUAACACAUGCAAGUCGAGCGGAGCGGCGGACGGGCGAGUAAUGCCUAGGAAUCUGCCUGGUAGUGGGGGAUAACGUCCGGAAACGGGCCCUAAUACCGCAUACUCUCAGAUGACCCAAGGUCGGUUUGGCUAGUUGGUGGGGUAAAGGCAUACCAAGGCGACGAACCGGAACUGGUCGGAGAGGAUGAUCAGUCACCCUGGAACUGAGACACGGUCCAGACUCCUACGGGAGGCAGCAGUGGGGAAUAUUGGACAAUGGGCGAAAGCCUGAUCCAGCCAUGCCGCGUGUGUGAAGAAGGUCUUCGGAUUGUAAAGCACUUUAAGUUGGGAGGCGUUACCAACAGAAUAAGCACCGGCUAACUUCGUGCCAGCAGCCGCGGUAAUUC
rnacentral:rRNA from 1 species